rnacentral:rRNA from 1 species
AUGGACUCUGGGGCGACAGAGCAUCUGACCAGCGAGAUGGGGAAGCUUCACACUCGUGAACCCUAUCAUGGCUCCGACAAGAUCCACACCGCCAAUGGAGCAGGUAUGCACAUCUCUCAUAUUGGUCAAGCAUCUCUUCUCACUAGACAUGCCAAUAGGAGUCUUCAGCUUCGCAAUGUUCUUCGCGUUCCAUCUGUGACCCGCAAUCUUCUUUCAGUUCCUAAACUCACACGUGAUAAUAAUGUGCUUUGUGAAUUUCACCCUUUUGAUCUUUUUAUUAAGGAUCGGGGCACGAGGGACAUUCUUCUUAGUGGGCGGUUGUGCCAGGGUCUCUACCGUCUGGAGCAUCCUGGCGUCGCUCGCGUUUUCAGUGGAGUUCGUGUCUCUCCGUCACAGUGGCAUGCUCGUCUUGGUCACCCGGCCACACCUAUUGUCCGUCAUAUUUUGCGUCGUCAUGAGCUUCCUAGUUUGUCUAGUAAUAAAGAUGUAGCAGUGUGUGAUGCUUGUCAGCAGGGGAAGAGUCAUCAACUUCCUUUUUCGGAGUCCAGUCGUGAGGUGAAACAUCCGUUAGAACUUGUGUUUUCAGAUGUAUGGGGUCCUGCUCAGACUUCUGUCAGUGGUCAUAAUUACUAUAUCAGUUUCGUUGAUGCUUAUAGUCGCUUUACCUGGCUUUACCUUAUUAAACGCAAAUCUGAUGUGUUUGAUAUUUUUGUUCAGUUUCAAAAACAUGUUGAACGUCUUCUCAAGCACAAAAUUGUUCAUGUCCAGUCGGACUGGGGGGGCGAGUAUCGCAACCUCAACUCCUUCUUUCAGUCGCUUGGGAUAGCUCAUCGUUUAGCAUGUCCACAUACACAUCAGCAGAAUGGUUCAGUCGAACGUAAGCAUCGUCAUAUUGUUGAAGCUGGUCUUACUCUUUUGGCCCAUGCAUCUGUUCCGUUUCGGUUUUGGAGUGAUGCUUUCACCACUGCAUGCUUUCUCAUCAAUCGUACUCCUACUCGUGUUUUAAACAUGAAGACUCCCAUUGAGGUUCUCCUUAAUGAACAAUCUGAUUAUACCUUUCUCAAGGUAUUUGGGUGUGCUUGCUGGCCGCAUCUUCGUCCAUAUAACAAGCGCAAGCUUGAGUUUCGUUCUAAGAAGUGUGUUUUCCUUGGCUAUAGCUCUCUUCAUAAAGGUUACAAAUGUCUUCAUGUUCCCACUAAUCGUGUCUAUAUAUCUCGGGACGUCGUGUUUGAUGAGCAUGUUUUUCCCUUUGCCAACCUUCCUGUGUCCACUGUCGAACCACCAUCCCUGCAUUCAUCCUCUGUUGCUUCUGACCAAUUUGAUGAUGUUGCAUACUCUCCUUUGCUGUUACCUAACCAUGGUGCAGGAACCAGACGUGGAGCUCGUUUGGAGCUGUUGGAGGAUUCACCAUCAUCAUCGUCGUCUUCUGGUGGGCAUGUCGAUCGCCCUCUGUUGCAUGGCAUCGAUUCGCGUGCCCAUGCAUGGUCACCCGACGAGCCCGUCACGCCGAGCAUCUCCACUGCUCGGUCUGCUACGCCAGUGAUCGCCGAGUCUCCAGCGGCUCGGCCUUUUUCGCCAGCGGUCGCUGAGUCGCCCGUGGCUCGGCCCGUCACGCCAUCUUCGCCCGCGGCUCGGGUCCUCACGUCGCCUUCAUCAGCGGAUCGGCCCGCGACACCUGCCGCGCCACGGCCCACUAUGCCGAGCUCGCCAUCGGCCCGGUCUAGGAUGCCGGAGUCGCCAGCUGCUUCGUCUGCUCUGCCGGUUUCGCCGGUGGGCCGGCCUUCUUCGCCGACUGAGUCCGAGGCUACCGUGCCUGGCUCCUCGUCACCGGCUGACUCGUCAACGUCGCCGUCCUCCAGCCCGUUGCAGGCUGCUCCGUCGACCUCGGUGGUUCCUGUGUCUCGACCACAUACACGCAGUCGCAGUGGCAUUUUCAAACCUAAGGAACGUACGGAUGGUACGGUUGCUUGGUUGGCUGCUUGUUUGGCUGCUGCUGUUGCGGAUCCAUCUUCUGAGCCUCGCUCAUAUCAGGCUGCCCUGCGCAUUCCACAUUGGCGAGAGGCUAUGGAGCAGGAGUUUCAUGCUCUUCUUCGUAACAAGACAUGGACUCUCGUUCCUCCACCACCACGGGUAAAUGUUAUUGACUCAAAAUGGGUAUUCAAAGUGAAGAAGCAUUCGGAUGGAUCUAUUGAGCGUUACAAAGCGCGACUUGUUGCUCGCGGUUUUUGGCAGCGUCAUGGUCUUGACUAUGAGGACACCUUCAGUCCUGUCAUCAAGCCUACCACUAUUCGGCUUCUUCUCUCCAUUGCUGUUUCUCGUGGUUGGUCCCUUCGUCAACUUGAUGUGCAGAAUGCUUUUCUACAUGGAUUUUUGGAGGAAGAGGUUUAUAUGAAACAGCCGCCUGGUUUCUCUGAUCCUGAUCGUCCUGACUAUAUCUGUCGUCUUUCCAAAGCACUAUAUGGUUUGAAGCAAGCUCCUCGUGCCUGGCAUGCCCGCCUUGCCUCUGCCCUUCGUGCUCAUGGGUUUAUGCCGUCCACUGCUGACACUUCAUUAUUUCUUCUACAGAAGCCAGAAGUCACUAUGUAUCUUUUGGUAUAUGUCGAUGAUAUUAUCCUUGUCAGCUCUUCUCAGUAUGCUGCUGAUGCUCUUGUCUGCUCUCUUGGUGCUGAUUUUGCGAUCAAAGAUCUUGGGAAGCUUCACUACUUUCUUGGAGUUGAGGUCACUUCUCGUGCUACUGGUCUUGUCCUUACGUAG